UUUGUCUCUCUACCUUCCUUUCUCUCACUACCACCACCACCAUCACCAUCAACCGCCACCACCACCCAUGCUACCUGCAACCAUCUUGAAAAAUCACAGAAUCCACUAUUUUUGCUAGCAUUUCCUACCUAGAAAAAUGGGUUUGUAAAGAAGAUCACUGCAACAAGAAAGCAACAAAUUAGUUCAAAAACAUUUUGACCACUCUACUUUCCCAAAACCUAACCCUAAGAUUAAAAACUAAUUGCCGCAUCUUCUAGUUAUAUUUCUGAAAAUCUGAAGAUGACUCAUGCGAACAACAUCGUCAGGCCAGAUAGGAGGUGAUCAUGUUCCGCUCUGCAACAUAGUAAAUUAUCAUAAAUUAUGAGCUCCAAACUGCACUGUAUCUAGAAGCUUCUCUAACCAUUUAUCAUGUUGCUGAUCGUUCGUGAAAGCAUCAAACUUUACCAGAAUGUUAUAAUACUCUGAAGCAAUGUUGUUACAACUUCCAGGUGUUUCCACCAUUGAACCCUCACCGCAACUAAGACAGAUCUGGUCCGACGGGUUUCAACUCGUCCACCAUUGAACCCCGCAAGACUGAUGGUUUCAACCCGUCCACCAUUGAACCCGGCCGCACCUUCAAGAACAGAUCGAAACUCGCCGGAACAGAUCCGAAGUCCACCAUUUAUUUGUUUAAUCUUCACAAAAUACAAAUGAUUUUGGGUCUAUGAUGGUUGGCAAGAAAAACAGUACUUAAAUUUAGAAGGGAUGAAAUACAAAAUACAAAAUACAAACAAUUUUGGGUCAAAACUUGCAGAUGCAGUGGAUGUCAAAUUGAGUUAAUUGUAUCAAUAUUUUGGUGUGGGCGAUGGUGGUGUGCCGCCGUGAGCCGCCACAAAGAGUGGUGGCCAACCUGUUGUUAGAGAGAGAGAGAGAGAAGAGAGAGGGAGAGAGUUUCAGAUUAAGAGAAAGAGAAAGAGAGUUAGAGUUUAUAUAUUUUUAUUUUUAAGUUUAGUACAAAAUUGCCCCUGUAAAUUUUUUUUUUACAAAGUAGUCCUUGGAAAGCUGAAAUGACAAUAAUAUCCUCAUGUGCAAAGCACAUGACCAGAUUUAACCAAAAAAUCUAACUGGGUUUGGCAUAAAGUACAUAACGUGUAAGAUUUUGAAACAUUAAGUACAGAACUUGUCAAUUU
rnacentral:lncRNA from 1 species